rnacentral:rRNA from 1 species
GACAGAGGCCCCAAGCGUUAGGCGGAAUCACUGGGCUUAAAGCGUGUGUAGGCGGACGCCUAAGUGUCUUGUGAAAUCCCACGGCUCACCCGUGGAACUGCUGGGCAUACUGGGCGUCUUGGGCCAACUAGGGGCAGCCGGAACAAGCGGUGGAGCGGCGAAAUGCGUAGAUAUCGCUUGGAACGCCGAAGGUGAAAACAGGCUGCUGGGGUUGCGCCGACGCUGAGACACGAAAGCCAGGGGAGCAAACGGG